AGGGAUAUAACUCAGCGGUAGAGUGUCACAUUGACGUGGUGGAAGUCAUCAAUUCGAGCCUGAUGAUCCCUA
rfam:Solanum lycopersicum cultivar Heinz 1706 chromosome 11, whole genome shotgun sequence.